UACGUAGGUGGCAAGCGUUGUCCGGAAUUAUUGGGCGUAAAGCGCGCGCAGGCGGUUCCUUAAGUCUGAUGUGAAAGCCCCCGGCUCAACCGGGGAGGGUCAUUGGAAACUGGGGAACUUGAGUACUGAAGAGGAAAGCGGAAUUCCACGUGUAGCGGUGAAAUGCGUAGAGAUGUGGAGGAACACCAGUGGCGAAGGCGGCUUUCUGGACAGUUCCUGACGCUGAGGCACGAAGGUCAGGGGAGCAAACGGG
rnacentral:rRNA from 1 species